GUCCCUGUCUGUGGAUGUGGUGGGGAGGAGUCAGAAAGUGGAAACAUGGACAUAUUUUUGUUAGAGCUCUAAAUCUAGUGAUACAUCAUUGAUUUUAUCUCUGCCAGGAAAUAAAACCUUCAGCUGCAGCUAAGAAUUUGGAGGUUACUGAAGGAGGUUACUUUUUCAAGAGCAGAAGUAAGGAUUCCACUGAAUUUGCUCACCAAAGAUAAGUCAGCAGAGAAAACUUACUGAAGAAUACAGGUUGUCUACUGUGUUUUUCUUAUUUUUUUGGAGGUUAUUUGAUCAUGUUUAUUUGAAAAUUGACCCCUAUAUGACAGUCCAUUCUGUUGAGUUUAUUGUUAAAAGAGCAGGAAUGAUUAAUGACUAUAGUGAAAUUAUGGAUUCCUAUUGUUACUAGACUAAUAUUGUAAGAACCAGCUAAAUCUUAUAAUGUAUGAUACAUUUAUGUGUGGCAUUCUUUGGUGUAGAAAUGAUUGUGUAAAUGCUGAUGCUGUAUAGUUUACCUUCUGCCUAAAUCAACAUCAGUGCUAAAAAUGUAUAUAAAUAAGGUGAAUAUUUUGAAUUUAUUUAAGGCCCUUCUCCAAAAAAGAAUAAUAGUUUAAAUAUUUUUUGUAGAACUAUGAGAGAAGCUGACUAAUUUGCAUAAACUGAGGAGCACAAUUGGAAAUACAGCAAAAUUGUUUAAUUAUUUUUAAGUGAAUGCAAGUUUAUUAAGACAGUAAAGGAAUAAAAGAAUGGCUACUCCAUAGGCAGAGCAACAAAAAUUAUUGAAUUUUUAAGUGAAUAUAAUCAUAUUGCUUUGACUUAUUGUCAUCUAUUUAUAAGAAAUAGCUAUUCCACAAUCUUCUUAAUGUUUAAAUAUUUUGUAAUAGGCAUUAAUAUUAUAUAUUUUUAUAUGUUAUUCAUAUAUAUUAAUAAUAACUAAUAAAUAUAUAUUUCUUAUUAUGUACCUGACAUUGGAGUAAGUAUUGAGCUUGUGAGGUCUUGGGAAGAAGAAAGCCUCAUGACUUAGAACUCUCUCUGGAAUCAGAAAGCUUGAAUUCAAAUCCCACCUCUAUUCUUAUUAGUCAUAUGAACACAGGAGAACCAUAUCCAUUCAGCUCACUUUGGACCACCUGUGGAGCCUCAUAACCAGGGAAUAGGGAAUCUCCUGAGGUCCAAAUUUGUGUGCCAGCAGGUCCUUCAGGACAUAUUCCAGAAGAAAGCAUUGUUAUCCUAGAAGAUGAUGGUUCCAUGCUUGUUAUUGCCCCUGAAGACCUUCCUGUGGGUCAAGAUACGAAGAUAAAAGACGGUGAUAUUGAUGAUUCUCACCCUGUGUACGCCAAGAAUCAAGUCAUCUGUGAAGGUUUAUCAAUUUUAUUGUAUUAAAGAAGCAAGCUCUAAAUUUUAUUUCUUAAUUCAUAUUUGUAAAUAUCAAUGUCAUAGCAUUAAUUUCUGCUGUUUAUUGUUUUCUACAUUCUAAUUAUUUUUAGUUGAAUUUUAUCUAGUUUCUCAAGAUUGGUACUUAGACAAAUUAUCUUAAAUAUUUCAUCUUUUCUGAUACAACCAUUUACAACUGUAAAUUUCAUUCUAAGUACUGCCUUACGCAGUACUUAUGCAGAUCUGAUGAGUUCAUAUUUCCCUGAAUUUUCUUGAUGUUUGUGGACAUAUGUUGAUG